rnacentral:snRNA from 1 species
GUGCUCGCUUCGGCAGCACAUAUACUAAAAUUGGAACGAUACAGAGAAGAUUCGCACAGCCCCUGUGCAAG